CCUGGAAUGGAAUCCAGGGGCAAGCACAGGAGGGGUACGGCUGGAAAAACCGCCGUGCAACCCAAAGGUGUGACGCAUACCGAACUAAAGUAGGGAAAUGUGUGAGCCGGCUGCCGAGAAAAGCCGCUAUUGUUUGUACUGUACCCGUACCGUAAACCGACACAGGUGGAUGAGGAGAGAAUCCUAAGGCCGACGGAAGAAGCAUUGCUAAGGAACUCGGCAAAAUGACCCUGUAACUUCGGGAGAAAGGGUGCCUCGAAAGAGGCCGCAGAGAAUAGGCCCAAGCAACUGUUUAGCAAAAACACAGGUCUAUGCAAAACCGCAAGGUGAAGUAUAUGGGCUGACGCCUGCCCGGUGCUGGAAGGUUAAGGGGAGAUGUCAGGAGACGAAGCACCGAACUUAAGCCCCAGUAAACGGCGGCCGUAACAAUAACGGUCCUAAGGUAGCGAAAUUCCUCGUCGGGUAAGUUCCGACCCGCACGAAAGGCGUAAUGAUUUGGGCGCUGUCUCGGCAAUGCAUCCGGUGAAAUUGAAGUGCCAGUGAAGAUGCUGGCUACCCGCGCCAGGACGGAAAGACCCCAUGGAGCUUUACUCCAGCUUGAUACUGGGAUUCGGUAUUGUAUGUACAGGAUAGGUGGGAGGCUGAGAAAUGGUGACGCCAGUCGCCAUGGAGCCGCUGUUGGGAUACCACCCUUGCAGUACUGGAUUUCUAACCAGCAGCCGUGAUCCGGCUGGGGGACAAUGUCAGGUGGGGAGUUUGACUGGGGCGGUCGCCUCCGAAAGGGUAUCGGAGGCGCUCAAAGGUUCCCUCAGAAUGGUCGGAAACCAUUCGAAGAGUGCAAAGGCAGAAGGGAGCUUGACUGCGACACCGACGGGUGGGGCAGGUACGAAAGUAGGACUUAGUGAUCCGGUGGUAUUAAGUGGGAAUGCCAUCGCUCAACGGAUAAAAGCUACCCUGGGGAUAACAGGCUUAUCACUCCCAAGAGUUCACAUCGACGGAGUGGUUUGGCACCUCGAUGUCGGCUCAUCGCAUCCUGGGGCUGUAGUAGGUCCCAAGGGUUGGGCUGUUCGCCCAUUAAAGCGGUACGCGAGCUGGGUUCAGAACGUCGUGAGACAGUUCGGUCCCUAUCCGGCGUGGGCGUAGGAUAUUUGAGAGGAGCUGACCUUAGUACGAGAGGACCGGGUUGGACUGACCUCUGGUGCACCGGUUGCCAUGCCAAUGGCACAGCCGGGUAGCCAAGUCGGGAAGGGAUAAACGCUGAAGGCAUCUAAGCGUGAAGCCCCCCUCAAGAUGAGAUAUCCCCCGCAUAAGCGGUAAGACCCCUUGAAGACGACGAGGUAGAUAGGGCAGAGGUGGAAGUGCAGUAAUGUAUGGAGCUGACUGCUACUAAUAGGUCGAAGGCUUGAAA
rnacentral:rRNA from 1 species